UACUUGGAGGUUGUUCCCUUGAGGAGUGGCUUCCGGAGCUAACGCGUUAAGUCGACCGCCUGGGGAGUACGGCCGCAAGGUUAAAACUCAAAUGAAUUGACGGGGGCCCGCACAAGCGGUGGAGCAUGUGGUUUAAUUCGAUGCAACGCGAAGAACCUUACCUACUCUUGACAUCCAGAGAACUUAGCAGAGAUGCUUUGGUGCCUUCGGGAACUCUGAGACAGGUGCUGCAUGGCUGUCGUCAGCUCGUGUUGUGAAAUGUUGGGUUAAGUCCCGCAACGAGCGCAACCCUUAUCCUUUGUUGCCAGCGAUUCGGCCGGGAACUCAAAGGAGACUGCCAGUGAUAAACUGGAGGAAGGUGGGGAUGACGUCAAGUCAUCAUGGCCCUUACGAGUAGGGCUACACACGUGCUACAAUGGCAUAUACAAAGAGAAGCGACCUCGCGAGAGCAAGCGGACCUCAUAAAGUAUGUCGUAGUCCGGAUUGGAGUCUGCAACUCGACUCCAUGAAGUCGGAAUCGCUAGUAAUCGUAGAUCAGAAUGCUACGGUGAAUACGUUCCCGGGCCUUGUACACACCGCCCGUCACACCAUGGGAGUGGGUUGCAAAAGAAGUAGGUAGCUUAACCUUCGGGAGGGCGCUUACCACUUUGUGAUUCAUGACUGGGGUGAAGUCGUACANNGGUAACCG
rnacentral:rRNA from 1 species